rnacentral:tRNA from 1 species
CAGAAAGUAGUUUAAAAAAAUAUUAAUUUUGGAGAUUAAAGAUAGAAUUUUCUUUUUCUGA